rnacentral:rRNA from 1 species
UACGAAGGGGCUAGCGUUGCUCGGAAUUACUGGGCGUAAAGCGCACGUAGGCGGUCUUUUAAGUCGGGGGUGAAAUCCUGGAGCUCAACUCCAGAACUGCCUUCGAUACUGGAAGACUUGAGUCCGGGAGAGGUGAGUGGAACUGCGAGUGUAGAGGUGAAAUUCGUAGAUAUUCGCAAGAACACCAGUGGCGAAGGCGGCUCACUGGCCCGGUACUGACGCUGAGGUGGCGAAAGCGUGGGGA